UGCAGAAUCCCGUGAACCAUCGAGUCUUUGAACGCAAGUUGCGCCCCAAGCCGUUAGGCCGAGGGCACGUCUGCCUGGGUGUCA
rnacentral:rRNA from 1 species